rnacentral:rRNA from 1 species
GACGAACGCUGGCGGCGUGCCUAAUACAUGCAAGUCGAACGCAUUUUCUUUCACCGUAGCUUGCUACACCGAAAGAAAAUGAGUGGCGAACGGGUGAGUAACACGUCGGUAACCUGCCCAUCAGCGGGGGAUAACACUUGGAAACAGGUGCUAAUACCGCAUAAUUCCAUUUACCGCAUGGUAGAUGGAUGAAAGGCGCUUUUGCGUCACUGAUGGAUGGACCCGCGGUGCAUUAGCUAGUUGGUGGGGUAACGGCCUACCAAGGCUGCGAUGCAUAGCCGACCUGAGAGGGUGAUCGGCCACACUGGAACUGAGACACGGCCCAGACUCCUACGGGAGGCAGCAGUAGGGAAUCUUCGGCAAUGGACACAAGUCUGACCGAGCAACGCCGCGUGAGUGAAGAAGGUUUUCGGAUCGUAAAACUCUGUUGUUAGGGAAGAACAGGGAUGAGAGUGGAAAGUUCAGCCCUGGACGGUAUCUAACCAGAAAGCCACGGCUAAUUACGU